UCCGUAGGUGAACCUGCGGAAGGAUCAUUAACACGUUCUUUACGUUUAUAUUAUUUUAUAAACCCCAAACUGAGCACUGAUAAACAUAAUUUAUCAUUCGAUUGAAUAGAGAGGAGUUGUGCUUAAUUGCAUGGCAACUUUCUCUCAAUCUUCUAAAACAAACCCCUUUUAAAUCAAAUUUAUUGACUAAAACCAUGUAUUUUCAAUUUUAUUAUUGAAAUCUUAUUACGUAAACUAAGAACAACUCUUAGCAACGGAUAUCUUGGUUCCCGCAACGAUGAAGAACGCAGCGAAACGCGAUAUGUAAUGCGAAUUGCAGAAUUCAGUGAAUCAUCAAAUCUUUGAACGCAAAUUGCACUUCCGGGAUAGGCCUGGGAGUAUGCUUCUCUCAGUAUCGGUUAUAUCUACUCUCGUCUGCACUUGUAAAAAGAGUGUACGACGGAUAAUGAGUCGGUGCGCCAUACUGUACCUUCUUGAAACUGAUUGGGAAGCCACAUUCUUGGAGGACUACUCUAAGGACAACGCCGAUUAUUAAAGAUUCAUCUGAAUCUUUUCAACUAUAUUUGCGCUGUCUGAGUCCUACUCGAGGCAUUGCCCAGCUUUUUAUCUUUACCGUGUCAAAAACGAUAAUUGAAUAAAAAUGUCUUUAAUCAUAGAUCUGAGAUGAAGUAAGAGGACCCACUGAAUUUAAGCAUAUUAUUAAGUGGAGGAAAAGAAACUAACAAGGAUUCCCUCAGUAACGGCGAGUGAAGCGGGAAGAGCUCAAAAUGAAAACCGGUGGUCCAAACGGGUCCCCGGGUUGUAAUCUCUAGACAGGUGACCAGCGUUUGUGACUUUGGUAUAAAUCCCUUGGAACGGGGUAUCAUAGAGGGUGAGAAUCCCGUCUUUGACCAAAAGUUUCACCGCGUACGGUCCUUGCUCUUCGAGUCGAGUACGUUGGGAUUCGUGCUCUAAAUGGGUGGUAAGCUCCAUCUAAAGCUAAAUAUUGGCGGGAGACCGAUAGCGAACAAGUACCGUGAGGGAAAGAUGAAAAGAACUUUGAAAAGAGAGUUAAAUAGUACGUGAAAUUGUCAAAAGGGAAACGCUU
rnacentral:rRNA from 1 species